rnacentral:rRNA from 1 species
AAUAGAUAAGAUCUUUAAACUCAAAGAAUUUGACGGUAUUUUAUAUCUAUUCAGAGGAACCUGCCCUUUAAUUGAUAAUACACGAUUAACAUUACUUAAUUUUUGCUUGUAUAUUUCCGUUAUCAGGAUAUCUUUUUAUAGAAUAAAUUUUCAAUAUUUUUCAUUAAAGUUUAUUUCAGGUCAAGGUGCAGCUUAUAAAUAAGUAGAGGUGGGUUACAAUAAUUUUAUAAUUAUUUACGGUUUUUGUAAUGAAAUAUUACAAUUUAAGGUGGAUUUGGUAGUAAUUUUAUUUAUUUAAAUAAAUUGAUUUUAGUUCUAAAAUGUGU